AUACCUGACACCUAUGAAUAAGAAAAACAACAAUUCCAGGUGACAUCAGAGUCCUCACUGCUAAUGUGAGAAGAAUGUUUGAGCAGGUAAAGGUUGUCCCUUAAAGUGACCGCCUACUUUGCAGGACACCUGGCUGAAGCGAAUCAGCCUG